GGGAGAUGGAGAGACUAUCCUAGAACAUAAAGUAAAAUCUAGAGAGGAAAGAUCUAACCAAAAAAUAACAAUCUUUACGACAUGAGUCAAGCAAUAAUUCCCUCAUUUGGAUUAAGCCUCAAGCAAGCCAAAUAAGCAAAUAAUAAUCCAUGUGCCAGAUGAAACCAAAAUAACCAAGCCAAGUCUUCAAAAGAAACCCAAAGUCA
rnacentral:lncRNA from 1 species